CUCAUGACUUGGAAGCGGUGGGCUGAGGCCUCCCAAGACCAUCUGGCUUGUUCCAUUGCCAGCCAGAGUGGAGGCGACAUUCACACGAACCCAGGAGCUGCAGGGGCGCGUGAGCUACAGCUGCCUUGUGGCAUCCAAGGAGUGCGCAACUAGUCUCACUCUGUUGCCCAGGCUGGAGUGCAGUGGCGCGAUCUCAGCUUACUUCAGCCUCCGCCUCCCGGUUUCAAGUGAAUUCUCCAGCCUCAACUUCACAAGUAGCUGGGAUUACAGCCACUUUUUAUCUUCUCUCCUGCAAUCCAACCCACAUAAUUUCCAUGAAGAAAGCGGAGUGGUGUCAUUUUACAACAAGAAAACUGAGUUAAGAAUAAGUCCAAUCAAUUGCUAGGUGUUGAGACUGAAAUGGAAGUCUCUUAGUACUCCACCCAAGGAUUUUCAUAUUAAACAAUUAUCUUGUCAUCA
rnacentral:lncRNA from 1 species